ACUGCUCAGUAACACGUGGAUAACCUGCCCAAGGGUCUGGGAUAACCCCGGGAAACUGGGGAUAAUACUGGAUAGAUCACCUAUGCUGGAAGGGCUUGGUGGUUUAAAGGUAACGCCUUUGGAUGGGUCUGCGGCGGAUUAGGUUGACGCCGGUGUAAUGUACCGGCGUGCCUGUAAUCCGUACGGGUUGUGGGAGCAAGAGCCCGGAGAUGGAUUCUGAGACACGAAUCCAGGCCCUACGGGGCGCAGCAGGCGCGAAAACUCUACAAUGCAGGAGACUGCGAUAGGGGGACAUCGAGUGGCAUCCACCUUGGGUGCCUGUCCAACCGUCUAAAAAACGGUUGUUAGCAAGGGCCGGGUAAGACCGGUGCCAGCCGCCGCGGUAAUACCGGCGGCUCGAGUGGUGGCCGAUAUUAUUGAGUCUAAAGGGUCCGUAGCCGGCUUUGCAAGUCCCCUGGGAAAUCCAGCGGCUUAACCGUUGGGCUUUCAUGGGAUACUACAUUGCUUGGGACUGGGAGAGGUAGGAGGUACUCGGGGGGUAGGGGUGAAAUCCUGUAAUCCUCCGGGGACCACCGGUGGCGAAGGCGCCCUACCAGAACAGGUCCGACGGUGAGGGACGAAAGCUAGGGGCACGAACCGGAUUAGAUACCCGGGUAGUCCUAGCCGUAAACGAUGCCCGCUAGGUGUCACGACAGUCGUGAAUUGUCGUGGUGCCGUAGGGAAGCCGCGAAGCGGGCCACUUGGGAAGUACGACCGCAAGGUUGAAACUUAAAGGAAUUGGCGGGGGAGCAC
rnacentral:rRNA from 1 species